CUGGCUCAGAUUGAACGCUGGCGGCAGGCCUAACACAUGCAAGUCGAACGGUAACAGGAAGAAGCUUGCUCUUGCUGACGAGUGGCGGACGGGUGAGUAAUGUCUGGGAAACUGCCUGAUGGAGGGGGAUAACUACUGGAAACGGUAGCUAAUACCGCAUAACGUCGCAAGACCAAAGAGGGGGACCUUCGGGCCUCUUGCCAUCGGAUGUGCCCAGAUGGGAUUAGCUUGUUGGUGGGGUAACGGCUCACCAAGGCGACGAUCCCUAGCUGGUCUGAGAGGAUGACCAGCCACACUGGAACUGAGACACGGUCCAGACUCCUACGGGAGGCAGCAGUGGGGAAUAUUGCACAAUGGGCGCAAGCCUGAUGCAGCCAUGCCGCCGUGUAUGAAGAAGGCCUUCGGGUUGUAAAGUACUUUCAGCGGGGAGGAAGGGAGUAAAGUUAAUACCUUUGCUCAUUGACGUUACCCGCAGAAGAAGCACCGGCUAACUCCGUGCCAGCCGCCGC
rnacentral:rRNA from 1 species